GUCGCAGGUUCGAAUCCUGCACGACCCACCAAUUUCAGCAUUUAACUCAGAUGCUGAACGUGAAGGAUAACGUUGCGACGGCAACGGCCCGAAGGGCGAGGCGAAGCCGAGUCAUCCUGCACGACCCACCA
rnacentral:sRNA from 1 species